rnacentral:rRNA from 1 species
GAUGAACGCUGGCGGCGUGCCUAAUACAUGCAAGUCGAGCGAACAGACGAGGAGCUUGCUCCUUUGACGUUAGCGGCGGACGGGUGAGUAACACGUGGGUAACCUACCUAUAAGACUGGGAUAACUUCGGGAAACCGGAGCUAAUACCGGAUAAUAUUUCGAACCGCAUGGUUCGAUAGUGAAAGAUGGCUCUGCUAUCACUUAUAGAUGGACCUGCGCCGUAUUAGCUAGUUGGUAAGGUAACGGCUUACCAAGGCAACGAUACGUAGCCGACCUGAGAGGGUGAUCGGCCACACUGGAACUGAGACACGGUCCAGACUCCUACGGGAGGCAGCAGUAGGGAAUCUUCCGCAAUGGGCGAAAGCCUGACGGAGCAACGCCGCGUGAGUGAUGAAGGUCUUCGGAUCGUAAAACUCUGUUAUUAGGGAAGAACAACCGUGUAAGUAACUGUGCACGUCUUGACGGUACCUAAUCAGAAAGCCACGGCUAACUACGUG